AUUGAACGCUGGCGGCAGGCCUAACACAUGCAAGUCGAGCGGAUGAAGGGAGCUUGCUCCUGGAUUCAGCGGCGGACGGGUGAGUAAUGCCUAGGAAUCUGCCUGGUAGUGGGGGCUAACGUCCGGAAACGGGCGCUAAUACCGCAUACGUCCUGAGGGAGAAAGUGGGGGAUCUUCGGACCUCACGCUAUCAGAUGAGCCUAGGUCGGAUUAGCUAGUUGGUGGGGUAAAGGCCUACCAAGGCGACGAUCCGUAACUGGUCUGAGAGGAUGAUCAGUCACACUGGAACUGAGACACGGUCCAGACUCCUACGGGAGGCAGCAGUGGGGAAUAUUGGACAAUGGGCGAAAGCCUGAUCCAGCCGUGCCGCGUGUGUGAAGAAGGUCUUCGGAUUGUAAAGCACUUUAAGUUGGGAGGAAGGGCAGUAAGUUAAUACCUUGCUGUUUUGACGUUACCAACAGAAUAAGCACCGGCUAACUUCGUG
rnacentral:rRNA from 1 species